CCUUGGCCAGCCCGCAGAGGCCGCGCUGUGGAGAGCUGAGGUCUGGCUGCUGCAUCUGAGGAAGGCAAGCAGAGGAGGCAGCAUUAGAUGGCGCCGGGCCCACGCUGUGCAGCAGCGUCUCUCUGUGAUGGUUCUGGUCAGAGCCUCUCACUGCACCUGGAGCCGCCACCUGGACCACACUGACCCAGAAAGUACCUGCCGGCCCCCAGCACUGGGGUCCCAUGGGUGCACUGGCCCAGGCAGCUUUGAUAUGUGCGGGGGACUCAAGCCCAGGCCCCAUGUUUACACAGUGAGCAAUCACCUACUCAACUAUCUCCCCAGCCCUUGAUCUGGAAUCUCUGAUCACCAUGUCUCUGCCUCCCACGUGCCAGGAUCCCAGGCCUGAGCCACAGUGCCUGGCGCAAAGGUUGGCAGGGACCAGACAGUCACUGCAGGCAGGAAUGGGCCUGGUGGAGAGUGGCUAGCGGGGGCAGGGCAGGAGAUGGGUGCUGGCCUCCCAGAGGUGCUGCUGAGAGUCAGGGCUGAGAGUCGGGAAUCACCUGAGUCACACUGACUGUAGUGAAAAAAUGAGUGACGACGAUAAAAAGCUGAAAUCGGCUCUACAGCCUCUCAUUCACAGAAUCCUCAAACCCUGAGAGAGUCCAGAGAGUACCUGGGAACAAGGACAAGGUGGGAGCACAGCCCUUGGUAAGGGACUUCGUGGGCACCGGUCCAUCGCCUCCCAGCCAAGUGGCUUCCUCGCUCUGUGAACGAAACUUUCACACGGAGGACACCUCGUCCACCCUCCCCUCACUUGUGUACAUAAAUGCAUGUGCCAGAAACUGGAGAAACAGACACAUUCUGCAGAGCUGCUCUUCUCCCCGUUGGGUACUGGGAGUUUCUGGUUCACCCUGCUCGGCCCUGCUGGGCUUGGUUCCGUGUGGGCAGCUGCUGCCCCCUGGUGGCGAAGCCUCCUUGCCUCACUCCUGAGUUCUUCCAUUAUUGUUGAUCCUGCAGCCAACCCCCAUCCCCUCACCACAGAGGAAGUGAGCACUCACAGGCACCUAGGCAAAUGCAGACGUCACACGGCCUUUUAUUCUCUGUGGUAUAACAAGUGUGAUGUGAGUGUGCGGUCUUGUGAGUUCAGGAACAUUCAGGGCACAGCACACAGGUGGAAGCCAAGAGACAGGGUCUCUUGUCUGCUUUUGUCCAGCUAAGCCAUGAGCUCCCAGGGACUCUGGUGACACAGGCGCGUGCCCACUCCACGUCUGGCUUUAUGUGGCUCUGGGGACCAGAAGCUAGGUCUCAUGCUUGCAAAGCAAGAGCUCUACCCAGUGAGCAACACUCCCAGACCCUGCCCGGCUUUUUACUUGGUAUUUCUUUUGUCCUGUGGCUUACUGGGCAUUUAUUUUUCUGAGAUGACUUUAAUAAGUACAGGCAGGCCAUAGAGGAGAAAGGUUUUGAUUUGCCUUUCCAGAGUCCGUACUUGCAGCACCUGGGGCAGGCGACAGAGAAAGAAGACCUGGGCAGACCCUGACCCUAGAGGGCGAGCCCACUCACCCUGCACAGACCGGUGCUCAAGGGAACAGCCGUCCGAGGCUAAAGGUUUGGGUGAGUCCUGAGGCAGCUCCUGUGGCUGGAAAAUGGGAGAGGAGAAGCAAAGCAUGGCUGUGCGCCCCAGCAACGCCAUCUCCCACCGGGCAAAGCUCCCCGCACUUAUGACGCAGUUGGAGAAAGAGCUUGUCUCCUCCGAAUGGCUUUAGUCUGCAACUCCAAGAGUUACUAUCCAUCCCAGGGGAGGGUGGGGCCAAGGGUCAGUUCAGAAGUCACUGGCUGGAAAACUGGGAAGGAGCCAAGCUCACAAUGUUAAGGAAAUUGCAAGAGGCAAGAUGUGGAAGGUCUGAGGCUGCCGAUCUGUGCUAGCCCUGCCUCUACCCCAGUCCUCCGACAAACUCAGGACAGUGGUUCUCAGCCGCCCCAGGCACGAUGAGGAAAUUCUUAAGAUGAAAGCAGCAGCUUCUAAGAACCUUCCUUUUUCUUCCCCAGACGUCUUUCACAUCAUCCCAGAGACAGCAACACCUCUGACCUGUGCUCUAAACCAUGCUUCCAGACACACGCAUGUAUUUCUGUGCUCUACAUGUGUGCAUGCAUGUGUGUGUUGAAUGUGUGCAUGCAUAUUGUAAGCUAUAUGUAAGUACAGGUUAUGUGUUAUGUGUGCUGUAUGUGUGCGCACAGAUAUGCUAUACAAAUGUCCAAGCAUGUAAAGUGCAUAUGUAUACACGUUAUACAUGUUAUAUGUGAGGAGCAUGCACUGUAAGUAUAGACAGGUCAAUCCAUAUGUUGUAUGUACAUCUGUGUGCGCAUGGAGGUGUCCUGUGUGCAUGUGUGUUACAUGCAUGUAUGUUUAUGUGUGCCUGCACAUAUUCUCACUGUGGAGGCAAUGACCCUGGGAACCAUUUCAGGCACUAACACGUGAGCUAAGUUCUCUUCAGUAUGUCUCGGUAGACUAGCGUCGGGGAGGAAGGAGGAGUGUGAGCACAAGGACGAAGGUGGCUUGCUGUGACACACACAAGAAUGUUGUGCACAGCAGUGUGAGAGCACCAUCACCUGUGCUCGGCUCAGUUUGGCCUCCAGAACCAUCUCGAGCCAUGUCAGGGCUACUUCACACCCAGCCUGUGAACAAGAGGGCAGCCAUCUGCCGGCAACAGGCACGGCACGUCUCCUACUUUCCAAUCGAGAUGCCAGAAUCCUCCCCUCUUCCCCGCCUUCCCUGCAGUGGGUACCAGCCCCCCAAACUCGCCAGACAGUGAUGAACUAGGAGGCCACUGUCCCCUGAGACUCGGGGUCCUCUGGCCCACCCAGGAGGGAAGCCCCACCUUCAGCUAGUCUCCAUGCGUACCUAAAGGCUCAGACAACACUGACCGUGCAGAUCCUAGCACACCUCAGUGGAGGAGCACACUUCACAGAGGAGCACAGCGAACACCCCAAGUUGUAGGCUACAGUGGGGCUUCUUGCCGACGAGGUAACGCAGCCUUCUCAGCACCGAGUUAUAAAAUCAAUUAUUGAUCAGGUCUGAAGGUGCCCCAGGCCCUGUCAAACGCUCGGUCGUGGCUUCACACUUUAUGUAAAUGAAAUAAUCCUUCCCAUUAUUAUAUAAAUUUGCUUUAGUCUUUAAUAAAUGGUGAAACUAUGUGU